CUGGUGACUGGUCUAAUACUUAUACUUAUACUACUAACUUAGUCUUAGUAACUAGUAGUACUGUUAGAUCUAGAUUAAUCUAGAUUUUAGAUCUGAAUCUGAUAGUUCAUAAGCUGAUGAACCUGUCUGGACCCUCCUAAAAAUAAAAACUAGACGUAUUAGCCUUAGCGCAAAGACCGCAAAGAAUACAUCUAGAUUUCUAGAUUCUGGCCUGUUUCAACAAAUUUGAAAAAUGCAGAGAUACGUACUAAAACAGAAAGCAAUUUUACAUACAGUAACAUAUAUUCCUUCCAAUAAGAUUAUAAGUCUAGAUUAGUCUAGAGUCUAGAGUCUAGAUCUACUAAUCUACUUCAGCCAAUGUGGUAUAUAGAGGUGUCAACAUGAGCUUACUCGAUUCUAAGUCAACUGAGCUUUACUCUACUAGAUCUAAUAAUCUUGUUGAUGCAAUAAAGAGUUAUGCAGUCUACAUAAUAAAAAUAAACACUCCAGUACGCAGGGCAUCCAUUUUUACAAAAUGGAAACCAGUUUCUAACUAUGAAAUUGAUACAUUUCUGGCCACGACUACAAUGAUGGGAUUAGACUUGUCGUUACGUCCCACACAUCCAUAUGGAUUAAUUUUAUUGCCACAGUUAAAACAUGGAAGUUGUUUUUUGUUCAGGCAAAUAUUAUAUAAAUAGCAAUGAAUUACUUUUUGAAAGAUAUCAUGUGCAGUGUAAUUAUUUUCUUACUGAAACUUAAUGUUGCAAGUUGUUUGUUUUUUUCUCAUAAAUUUUCUAUGGUGGUGACCUUGGAUAAUGUGCUCCAGUUUUGUACUCCAUGAGUUUUUUAUUGUUUUAGUGGUUCAAUUUCAUGAAAAUAUGAAUAAGGAUUAUAAAACAAUAGCAUUUAAUUCAGUUUGGAAUAGAAAUGAUCUUCUUAUGUGACUUGGAUUAAAUUUUUUGUCGUCCAAUGCAGAUAGACUUACAAUAUCAGGCUUUAAGCACCUAGCUGGAUAAAAGAAGUAACAGAAAUGGGCCUGUCUUUCUAAAAUGAGUUUAGAGAGAAAAGUAUUUUAUCAGCAACUAUAUACCAGCUAGACCAAACUUUUUUUGUCAUUAGACCAAAGAUGGCCCACAUUUAAUUAUUUAUAAGAAAUGCCCAAGAUGAAAGAUGUCUUAAGGACAAUUUAUUUUUCAAACCUGAAAUCUAAAAACCAAAAUAUAAAUACUCGGAAUCAGGUAUUUACUAUCCACCUCUUGUGAAAACAUUGGCUACUGUCAAGGCUUACAUUGAAUCUCUACCACUUUUAGAUGAGCCAGAAAUGUUUGGGCUCCAUGAGAAUGCAAACAUAGCCUUUCAGUUGAAUGAAACCAAUGCUUUACUUGGUCUUAUGGUGUUGUCUUAUGGGAACUGUUGACAGCAGAAGUACCCUACAAAGAUGUGGAUUCUUCUGCUAUCAUCUGGGGAGUGGGAAGCUAUAUCCCUCACCUUCCUGUUCCAGGGACUUGCCCAGAGGGCUUUAAAUUGCUGCAGUGCUGGUAUUUUAUGCCUCAUGGUAUUACAGCGGACCAUCAAGGAAAUAUUUGGUUAACAGAGUAGCAAUGCAUCAGGUUUUUAAAAAUACCACCAGAUCAGACUGAACCAUCGUAAUGACACUAGGACAGAAGUUCCAGCAUGGUGAAGAUACAAAUCUUUUUUGUAAACCUUCUGAUGUAUCUGUUCUUAUGUCUGGAGAGUUUUUUGUAUCUGAUGGGUACUGUAAUAGCAGAGUUCUGAAAUUUUCCAAAGAUGGAACUUUUUUGAUGUCCUUUGGGAAAAGAAACGUUCAGUUUGGUGCAGUUCCUCCUGUUGUGACAUUUGACAUCCCUCAUAACAUCACUGUGUCAGUUGGUUUGUGUGGCUGACAGAGAGAAUAACCGCAUACAAUGUUUUGAUCUGGAUGGAAAUUUCAAGCAGGUCAUCAAACGCCCAGAAUUUGGUUCACGACUGUUCACUUUAGAAUAUUGUCCUGCACAUGAACAUGCGAAACCCACAUGAUGUAGCAGCAGAUCCAGUAACACAUAGCAUCUAUGUAGGGGAAUUGGAUCCUGAAAGAGUUUGGAAGUUUAGCAGACCUUUUACAGUACAGUCAUUAAGUUCACAGCAUAACAAAGUUGAGGAAAGUACUCAGAGCCAGUUACUGUCAGCAAUCCAUUGGACCAGAGUGAAACCAAUACCACAGAGUUGUCUGAGGCUAUCAAAGAUAGCAGUGAUGUCUCUCCCUCUGUCAUCAAUUGGCAUCUUACUUGUGGAAAAUUUAAAUGUUAUGGACAUGGAAAGAAGGGAAAGGUUUUUAACCUUAAAGGCUUUACUUGGAAUUCUCAUAAAGGCUUUGAUAGACUUAGUACUGAGGAAAGUGAUCAUGAGGUUGACCCAGAUGAUUUAGAUGAUAAAGACUAUUUGACACCUCCCAAGACGAAUAAAGCAUAGCCUCAAGUUCAAGGCUGACUAAAUUGUGUAAAUUAAUCUUUUUUUUUCUUUGUUAUUAGUUGGUCAUAUCAUAAUAUUCUGCCAUUACAGUCAGGGUUUAAACUUGUUUACAUGUUGAAUCUGAUACCAACUAAAUCUCAUAAACACAUAAUUAACCAUAGACCCACCUCAUGUAAAAAAAAAUGUUUUGUAAAAUGUUUUACAUAUUUCGGAUGUUCUUUCAAAGUUGAAGAUAGUUUACUUCCUAGUCCAAAUCUCCCGCAGGACGACGGGGGAUGGGAGCGGGCAGGGUUUGAACCCGGGACCAUCAAUAAAUCCAAACGACAGUCCAGCGUGCAAACCGCACGACCAGGCAGCCAUAUUACAUGUUAUUAGUUGUAAGUUGUAUUACAAUAACUAAGUGAUUAUGAGCUCAUAAAAUUUCAAAAUAAAAUUAUAAAAUGCUUUUGUCAUUCUAAAAAAGAAAAAAAGAUUACUAUGUUGGAUUUUUUUUGGAUAGCAAAGGCUAUUUGACCUUUUUAUUUCAAUAUGUGAUAUCAAAAUUUUUAAUUCAUUAAUUUGUUCAAUAUUUGUCGAAAGUUUGCUUUUGAAUAAAAAAUUUAUCAGCAUUAUUAUCAUUUAAUAAGUAUAUUUUGUUUUUUAAUUUUAUGAAUGAUUUGAUGUUUUAAUGCCAGGUCAUUUACAAAGCACACGCCUGCCAAAUUUCUUUUUGCAAUGAUUCUCAAAACUUAAUUAGCUACCAAAUGAUUGUUUGCUCACUUGGUUGUGAUGAUUCAACAUUGCUGUUAUGUUCCACCAUUUCCUUCUUCAAUUCUAAAGCUGGCUUUAUUUCAUCUAGUGAACGUACCAUUAGUGUUAGUGACCCUGGCAAACUAGCCAUUUUAUGCACAAUUUUAAAAUGUUCAUAUGGAUAAUAUGGUUAGUUUUUUUUUAUAGCAUUUUUGACUACAUGGAGUUCCAGACAACUUUCCAUGUUGCUGGUCCCUUUCUCAUGUCAUUAUUAAAUCUUAUUUAAAAAACAAAAAAAAACUUGUUAGAUGGUAACAUUGUCCAAAUUGUUAUUAGAUUUAUGUAAUGUGUUUGAAAACUAUGACUUCCUUAGAUUGACUACUAGACUCUCAUUCAUGUAUUGCAUUUCUUUAUUUUAAAAUCUUGUUAAGGCUUGUUUAAAAUCUCUCGACACUCAACUUUUUAUGCCAUAUUACAAUGUUUAUUUGUUAAUUCAAUUGUUUAGUCAAAUGUUUGUUUUCCAAAGUGUUACUAUUUGGUGCAAUCAAAAUAUUUAGUGGCAUUUUACAUACAAACACUGGUAGUUGAAAUCAGUAGCACAUUUUAGCUAAUUUCUGAUGAAUCAAAAUAAAAAUGUCAUGAUAUAAAAAUAAUUUUAAAUUUAAAAACCUAAAUGAAAAAAAUUGUAUUUUUUGUAAAUAUAGUUACAGUUAUAUUGAAUAGAAUUAUUUAUGUUAGCAACUUUUGAAUGCAUCACAUAAUUUUAAUUUGACACAGAAACUGAAAAUCCUUUCAAUUAAAGAUUGUUGACUGUUGUUUCACCUCAGAUGAAUUGAUUACAUUUUAAGAGGUUAUCAGAUAUUUAUAUUUAUGACAUACAAUUUUUUUGUUAUGUUAUGAGUUGUUUUUGUUUUUAUUUUCUACAUGUUCAGGGUAUAAAGUUCUAGUGCAUACAUACGUAGAUUUCAACCCACAUUUUUUUAGUUCUUACUUAUGUAUUUACAUACAUGUACUAAGAACUAAUAUGAAAUUACAACUUAAUCAUUUUUUGUGUGAUUUUUAUGUAUUUGAACCAAAUUUUAUUUUAAAUUAGCACAAGUUAAAUCUGUUGAUCAGAAUUUUUUUCCUUGGUAAUAGUUAUAUUUAUACUCAAACCCAUUUGAUGUUACUUCUGCAAAGAUUUAUAGACACUCAGAGGAAAUGAUAUUAGCAUGGUAGACACAGUUAAACUUUUAAGGCAGAGUUUUGGAAUUAAAGCUAAAAUUUUAAAAUAAAUCAAAAACAUUGAUAAACAAGCUGUUUACUGCUAGUUUAGUGCAUCAAUCCAUUGUCUGCUUUUGAUUUAGUCUUUGGUUCUUGAUUUCUAUGCUGCACUGUGUCAAUAACUUUACUUUUUUAAAGCAGUUCUAUUAAUCUCUUUCAAAUACUAUUUGCUUAUACUAAUCAGAAUGUAAGAUUUAAUGGGUUUGAUAUUUGUUUCAACUGGUGAUGGUCCCCCUAAAGUAUUGUAUUAGUACUUCAAAACUUACUUAUGUACAGCUUCAUUAAUCAAUUAUAUUUUUUAGGCUGUUGAAGGUUUAUCAAUUGAUUUUUUUUUAAUCUGGUGGAGACAUUUAACCAUUUUGUUUUUGCCACAAAAAAAAAUUUAACUUGUCUGUUGUGAAAAAUGAAAUCAAAAGUGAAUGAUCACCUAGUCUUUGAAAGUUCAAAAUAUUUGUACUACUUUAUUGAUGUCAUGUACUCACAUAAUAUUUGUGUGUUAGUGUUUGUCUUAACAUGUUGAUGUUGUUUUGUGAUAUCUACAUCAACAUUUUCUCUUGUUGGUGGGGUAUGCAAGACAUUGGUUCUAUGCUGUUGGUAAAAAUUUCUCAUCCUUCAUUGACUUCCAUUGUACUUCACCUUGCACUGUUUUAUGGAGUGCUAGAAAUCUAAAAAGUAUCCCAGUCAUAAUAGAAGUUUAUAGAUUUUUAAAACUUACUACAUUCAGAGCAUUUCAUUUUUACUUUGCUCUUUUUUUUAUUGUGUAUGUUCUUAAUUGUUAUCAACAUCUGACAGUGCUACAUAAUGUUUUAUUUAAUGACUGAGCAUAAUGCUUAAUUUGAUUUUAAUGUGGCUAAGAUUCAAGAAACAUGUUUACAAGUUCAUUGCUAAAAACACCUGGUGCAGAGUCAAUGUAUAAUCUCUGAAAUGAAAUGGGACUAACAAUGACUUUCAAAAUAGGAAUGUCAUUUGUUUCUCAAAUGUUAGUAGCAUAGAAAACAUGGACUGUGUGGUCUAUUUAUCUUAAUGUGUGUUUGAUGUAUUGUAAGUGAUCAUAUGUAACAGUUAUGGGUAUAGAGAAUAAAAUACAAAAUAUUUAA